UGAUGGGUGCCAGUGGGUGUUGGGUGCCAUUAGGGAGCAAUGGGUGCCAUUUGGGGUCAGUGGGUUCAGCUGGGGGGCAAUGGGUGCUGUUGGGUGCCAUUGGGGGGCAGUGGGUGCAGUUGGGCAGUGAUGGGUGCUGUUUAGAGGUGUUGGGUGCCAUUGGGGGGUGUUGGGUGCCAUUGGGUGUUGGGUGCCAUUUGGGGGGUGUUGGGUGCCAUUGGGGGGCGAUGGGUGCCAGUGGGGGGCAGUGAGUGCAGUUGGGUGCUGUUGAGUGCCACUGGGUGUUGGGUGCCAUUUAGAGUUGUUGGGUGCCAUUGGGGGGCAAUGGGUGCCAUUGGGGUGGCUGGGUGGUGGUGGGUGCCAUUGGGUGUUGGGUGCCAUUGGGGGGUGUUGGGUGCCAUUGGGGAGCAAUGGGUGCCAUUGGGGGUCAAUGACUUCAGCUGGGGGGGCAAUGGGUGCUGUUGGGUGCCGUUGGGGGGCAGUGGGUGCAGUUGGGUGGGGAUGGGUGCCGUUGGGCGUUGGGUGCCAUUUAGGGGUGUUGGGUGCCACUGGGGGGCAGUGGGUGCCAUUGGGAUGCCGGUGCCACGGGGCGAUGGUACCACAUGGUGCCACCCGGUGACCCUGCCCUGCGGCGCGGGUGCCGUCGCAGGCGGAGGUGCGGGAGGAUGACGCCGUCUUCUCCCUGGCCCCCCGGCCCGGGGCGCCCCCCGCCCGCCUGCUGCGCGCCGCCCCCCUGCCCCGCCUGGUGCGGCACCUGCUGGAGGCCCCGGCCCGCGGGGACGGAGCCUUCGUCCCCACCUUCCUCGCCACCUUCCGUGCCUUCACCCAGCCCCACGACGUCCUGCGCCUGCUGCUCGCCAGGUGGGGGCGCGGGGACAUCGCCUGGGGGCUUGGGGACGUUGUGGGGGGCUGGGGGCUUUGUGGGGGGUCUUGGGGACAUUUCGUGGGUGCUUGGGGACGUUGCAUGGGGUCUCGGGGACGUUGCUUGGGGGCUUGGGGACACUGCAGAGGGGGCUUGGGGACACCGUGUGUGUUUGGGGACACGGCACGGUGACACCGCGUGUGGCGGGGGCCCCGUAGCUCUGACCCUCCCCCCCCGUGUCCCACCCAGGCUGGAAGAAAUGGGGGGGCUCUCGGCAGCCCCCAGCUCCCCGGAGGUGGCUGAGGCCAAGGGGGCGCUGGCGGCGCUGCUCAGCGCCUGGCUGGAUGGGUACCCCGAGGACUUCGGGGGGCCCCCAGCCGCCCCCCUGGCCGAGCGCCUGGUGGGGGCGCUGGAGCCGGGCUCGGAAGCGGGGCGGCGCCUGGAGAACCUGCGGGGAGCCCCCCCUGAGCCCCCCGCCCCGCCGCCGGACGGGGACGGGGACGAGGACGGGGACGGGGACGGGGACGCCGACCCCCUGGACAUCCUCGCCUUCCAGGCGCAGGAGGUGGCCGAGCAGCUGACGCUGAUGGAGGCGGUGAGCACCCCAAAAAGCUGCACCCCAAAAGUCCUGCACCCCGAAAUCCUGUACCCUAAAAAAAACUACCCCAAAACUUCGUAUCCCGAAAAAAAACACCCAAAAAAUCCUUUAUCCUGAAAAAGUGCACCCCAAAAAUCCUGUAUACCAAAAAACUGCACCCUGAAAAAUCCUGUGUCCCCAAAAACUGCAUCCCAAAAGUCCUGUAUACCCCAAAUCCCCCCAAAACUGCACCAUGAAGAUCCUGUAUCCCCCAUAAAACACCCCAAAAAUCCUGUAUCCCAAAAAAAUGCACCCCCAAAAAAAUUCUGUAUCCCAAAACAAAACCCCCCAAAUCCUGCAUCCCCCCCAAAAAAACACCCCAAAAUCCUGUAUCCUGAAAAAAAACAACCCUAAUGUCCCUCGAUGUCCCCAUGUCACUGUCGUGUCCCCAUGUCCCUCCAUUCCCGUGUCCCUCGAUGUCCCCCAUGUCCCCAUCUCAGAGUCAUGUCCCCAUGUCCCCAUCCCCGUCUCCUUGUCCCCAUGUCCCCACAUCCAUGUCAUGUCCCCAUGUCCCCCAUCCCCACAUCCCUCCAUCCCCCUGUCCCCAUCUCCACCCCCUCUCCCCCCCCCCCCCCCUUCCCCUGU
rnacentral:lncRNA from 1 species